UGGGGAAUAUUGCACAAUGGGCGAAAGCCUGAUGCAGCGACGCCGCGUGAGGGAUGACGGCCUUCGGGUUGUAAACCUCUUUCAGCAGGGACGAAGCGCAAGUGACGGUACCUGCAGAAGAAGCACCGGCUAACUACGUGCCAGCAGCCGCGGUAAUACGUAGGGUGCAAGCGUUGUCCGGAAUUACUGGGCGUAAAGAGUUCGUAGGCGGUUUGUCGCGUCGUUUGUGAAAACCAGCAGCUCAACUGCUGGCUUGCAGGGGAUACGGGCAGACUUGGGUACUGCAGGGGAGACUGGAAUUCCUGGUGUAGCGGUGAAAUGCGCAGAUAUCAGGGGGAACACCGGUGGCGAAGGGGGGUCUCUGGGCAGUAACUGACGCUGAGGAACGAAGGCGUGGGUAGCGAACAGG
rnacentral:rRNA from 1 species